rnacentral:rRNA from 1 species
UACGAAGGGGGCUAGCGUUGUUCGGAAUCACUGGGCGUAAAGCGCACGCAGGCGGAUCGUUAAGUCAGGGGUGAAAUGCCGAGGCUCAACCUCGGAACUGCCUUUGAUACUGGCGAUCUUAGAGUCCGGGAGAGGUGAGUGGAACUCCGAGUGUAGAGGUGAAAUUCGUAGAUAUUCGGAAGAACACCAGUGGCGAAGGCGACUCACUGGACAUGUAUUGACGCUGAGGUACGAAAGCGUGGGGAGCAAACAGG